rnacentral:rRNA from 1 species
GGUGAACGCUGGCGGCGUGCCUAAUACAUGCAAGUCGAGCGAACAGAUGAGGAGCUUGCUCCUCUGACGUUAGCGGCGGACGGGUGAGUAACACGUGGAUAACCUACCUAUAAGACUGGGAUAACUUCGGGAAACCGGAGCUAAUACCGGAUAAUAUAUUGAACCGCAUGGUUCAAUAGUGAAAGACGGUUUUGCUGUCACUUAUAGAUGGAUCCGCGCCGCAUUAGCUAGUUGGUAAGGUAACGGCUUACCAAGGCAACGAUGCGUAGCCGACCUGAGAGGGUGAUCGGCCACACUGGAACUGAGACACGGUCCAGACUCCUACGGGAGGCAGCAAUAGGGAAUCUUCCGCAAUGGGCGAAAGCCUGACGGAGCAACGCCGCGUGAGUGAUGAAGGUCUUCGGAUCGUAAAACCCUGUUAUUAGGGAAGAACAAAUGUGUAAGUAACUAUGCACGUCUUGACGGUACCUAAUCAGAAAGCCACGGCUAACUACGUG